rnacentral:misc_RNA from 1 species
GAAGAAGAAGAGGCCUGGACAUUGUCCGGGUUGUUCGAAAUCGACGAAAGGAGUUCGAUUACCUGUGUACGUCACAAUGGCAGUGGUUCCACCGUCGAGAUCAGCAACAGUGAACCAGCCGGUGUUCUCGUGCUGCUCACCUGGGCCGCAGAGCCUGCCCCAAAAACCAAUACGAGUCUGGACAAGGUACGGUUCGUGGAAAACCUGCGCUAAGCAAGAUAGGUAGCGGCACUGCAAGGUAGACGGCGGGAGACAGUGCGCGAUUUGUUGUAGAAUACACUGGCGUAGUUGGGUGUACCAGAAACGUUCCAGGGGAGCCACGGCACUGGCUCCUGGUGCUAGUACGCGAAGCUGGGAGGCUUCACGUUGUUCCCCUGGACCGUCAGCAGUACGUACGUUCGCAAAAGUUUCCGGGGAUGGUUGGCCAGUUCGCGACGGAGAAGCUAGCGGCUGUUCCAGUGGCACUGCAAGGGCCGCAACGAUAGCUGGCGCUAACGCCGAACUCGCUGCUGGUGCUGCUGGUGCUGCUGGCGAGCCCCGCAGCCAACUCGUCCAGUGUGCACCGUACAACUGGAGACGGCGGCCGGGCUCUACGAUACCGCUCGCGGCACGCUCAGGCAGAAAGAGGACUGCACUCAUUCUAUGAUCGGAGCUGGAGCUCCGGCAAUACUGUCUGCUGCUGAUGGCGCUGGCUCUGCGGGUAUCGACGGAUGUAAGCGGAGCCGGCGCUACCGCUGUUGCUGGUGUCUCCUCCUGCACGAUAGCUUGGUCAAGUCCUCGGCGCGUUCUUGUUGCUAAAAUGGCGCCAUUAUCGCGAACGAGUUCGCAUAAGGUCGCAACAUCCGGGUGUUGCUGAGCUGCGUCGGUGACUGCCCAGCGACAAUCGUUCGAAUUGUCCCUUGCAGAUGCCACCGCUGCACCCGUAUUCAAGCUCGGGCGAGCCGCCAGUUGAUGCUGCGUCAUGGAGACGCUUUCGGCGAUAUCCUCGACAGCAACAAGGGCAAUUCGAAGCGGAACGGGGCGUUCGGAAGCAGCGCCCGUCCGUCUCGGGCGCCACAGGACCUUUUGCACGGUGACGGUGGGCGUAACAGAAGCGCUCUGCAUUUCUGCGCGUUCAAGACGACUGAAUAGCGACAAAGCAGGGUCCUCUUGUGAUUGCUGGAGGAAAAGCAGGCGCCUUGACUCCCACUCCCGAAGCAUUUUGGCGAAGCGGCUCAUCGCGCAUCGAUAGUGUAGUCGGAGCGCCCACGGCGCUCCGCCAGUGCCAGUUCGAGACAGAUGCGCCUCACCUUGAGGCGAGCAUGCUAGGUGCUGUCCGUCGAGCUCCAGAGGCGGAGGCGAUUGCUGCUGUGUCGCGACCAGGCUCGAGGGCGAUCGAGUCCCCGAACCAGUACCCCAACAGAGCCGGGAAGCAAUCUUUCUUUUGCGAGCUGAAGACCAAGGCGUACCGUCAGGAUUCCCGAAAAACGUCUCCGCAAAAGGUGAGCGAAAAGCGGCAUCGUCGCUCGUCUCGCGUGCUUCGCGAUGCUCGCUUCUGGCGCCGUUUGAAGCAGGCUCUUCAUCGCAUCUGGGAGUCUGCUGGCUCAUCGGUUCCGCUGAAGGGAUGCGGAUUCGUUUGCGGACGCUCUGUACGGAAAUCGGCGGCAAAUGAUGCAUUCUUUCCUCGGAUCGUUUUGUUCGGGCUGAUGCAGCUCCGGGAGACUGGCCGAAAACAGCAAUCCGCUGACUCAGUCGCGCUGGUGUCUUGCACCAACUCGACGGAAUCAGGGUCCGCGGGUCAUCGGCGUGGUCCACGGGACGGAUGCCUGGACGGAUACCGGCAUCAUCGGUGACAUUAUUUGAAACGCUACCUGUAGUACGGUCGCGCUGCAGGGCAUUCUCCUCGGAGUAAGUACCAGCGUACUGUCUGGACGACAGCGAGUCUCCGAAGACCGGGGACGCAUCUUUUGCACUGCCACGCUCCGUAGCGUUACAGUCUAGCGCCUGCAUUUGCCGCCGGUUUCCAGCCGCAUCCGCUUUUGAGCUUGCCCCAUGAUCAGGAUCACUUGUGCGGACUGCAAGCAGCGUCUCGGGUGCAGAGAGAGCGGCGCCCGUUGAGGAUCGACGUUUCGGCGGAGCGUCGUCGACCUCGUGUUUUGCACCGCCACGCACUGUAUGCGGCAAAGAAUACCUACGGCGAGUGCUUCCACCUUUUUCCGCCGCAAUGCGCACAGUAAACCGCAUGAAGAUGGAAGCUUUCCUAGAGUAGAGAUUUCGCGGGAACGCGUCGGAGAGCGUCACUGCACCUGUUGUAAAGUUUGACGGCGGCGUAUU